UACGAAGGGUGCAAGCGUUAAUCGGAAUUACUGGGCGUAGAGGGUGCGUAGGCGGUUGUUUAAGUCUGUCGUGAAAUCCCCGGGCUCAACCUGGGAAUGGCGAUGGAUACUGGGCAGCUAGAGUGUGUCAGAGGAUGGUGGAAUUCCCGGUGUAGCGGUGAAAUGCGUAGAGAUCGGGAGGAACAUCAGUGGCGAAGGCGGCCAUCUGGGACAACACUGACGCUGAAGCACGAAAGCGUGGGGAGCAAACAGG
rnacentral:rRNA from 1 species